rnacentral:pre_miRNA from 13 species
CUCCUCUGUCUGCUGGGCUGGGGGCAGGGCCUUUGUGAAGGCGGGUGUGCAAAGAUCGCCUCUGGGCCCUUCCUCCAGCCCCGAGGCGGAUUCA